AAUCAACGCUGGCGGCGUGCCUAACACAUGCAAGUCGAACGCGAGAGGGGCUUCGGCCCCGAUUGAGUGGCGAACGGGUGAGUAACGCGUGGGUGACCUACCUUCGAGUGGGGAUAACGUCCCGAAAGGGACGCUAAUACCGCAUAACAUUCUGCUUUUGAAUGGGUGGAGAUCAAAAGCCGGGGAUCGCAAGACCUGGCGCUUGAUGAGGGGCCCGCGUCUGAUUAGCUAGUU
rnacentral:rRNA from 1 species